rnacentral:lncRNA from 1 species
CUAGCAAUUGCGGACCAAUAGAACUCGUGUUUUUCUCGACGGCGUCGGCAGAUAACAUUAACGACUUUUUGAGAAGUUUGAUUUCGUGCUGCAAGGGCGUGUCCAGGAAACGAAAAUCUGAUAUUAGAGAGGGAACAUUCGUGUGUUUCACUUUUUGUUCAAGCCAGUGAAAAUGGAAGAAGAGUUGAAGUAAUUCACUAUGUUGUUUGGAGGAGUGAAGGUGAUAGGGUAGAUACUUGAAAUAAUAGUCCUUUUGGGAAGUACUAGUCCAUUCACCGUUCACGCAUUGGCCACGAAGUGUUUUCACGAACACGCGCUGG